UGAAAAUAGGAAGAAGUAUAAUAUACAACUAUGUGUAUUUACUUCUUACAUUGGCUUUGGUUUUACUCUUUGCAUAAUCUUUCGGUUGAGAGAGCUUUUUCAACUAUGAAUAUUGUAAAAACACCAUUGCGUAACAAAAUAGGUAAUUAAUGGUUGAGUGAUAGCUUGGUUGUUUACAUUGAGAAAGAUGUUUUUUUCUUG
rnacentral:lncRNA from 1 species